GGGCUCGUAGCUCAGCCAGGUAGAGCAGCAGGCUUUUAACCUGUUGGUCGGGGGUUCAAAUCCCCCCGAGCCCG
rnacentral:tRNA from 2 species